UCCCUCUUAGCUCAGUUGGUAGAGCGCGUCACUAGUAUGAGGUUCUUGAUCAAGGGAAUUUGAUGACGAGGUCAGUCGUUCAAGUCGGCUAGAGGGAA